AUGUUAUUUAUAUCAACGCAACUAGUUUUGUGUUACCAGAGAUGGUUGAUGAUUUUUGGAUAUUUACAGAAUUUGGUAGGUCUGGUUUUCUUGGUGCAGUUGUAUCCGUAAGUUUUCUGAUUUUGCUAUGUAGGUAUGGAGUAUGAGAGAUCUGUGAGUUGCAGAAAAGAGUGUCUGCAGAAUGCUUGGCCUCCUGUGCUGUGGAAGUGAGACCUGAAGGAUGAGCUUAUGGCGCAGGGAAUCUCUUUCUGGGUUUUGCAAUUUUUUUUUGAAGUUUGAAUUUGCUUUGAAUUCGCACUUUUGUUGGUUUCUCAAGGCAUCCAAGGACUUCCUGUUAGCAUGAUUGGACAGAUUCUAAAUAUCUGUACAUAUCUAUGUUAUAACUCUAAAUAUUUGUGUAAUGAUAAUAGGAGAUAGCAUAGAUUAAUGUAGCAUAUUUUCAGAGAUAUUACAAUUAGGAAUAGCAUAUAUUUAGGGAUAUAUAGCAGAUUUUUAGGCGUGUAAAUCAGAAUUCUUUCUAUUUAAUGGAAGAAGUCAAAUUUGAGAGAACUCAUUCAACAAAAUUGACAGGAUGAAUGUCUGUAGGCCACGUGGUGGUAGCAAGAGGACAAUAAUUGGAUACUUUGUAGUUUGGUUUUGGUGUGCAUACCCUGUGGACCAUGUUUCUUGCCAUUUUGGUGCUUGCAUUGCAAUCUGGAUAUUGGAUAUUACCAGGUAGUAAGAAAAAAGGUGUUUUGCAAUCUUAUCUUGUUUGGCAUCUCUAGUGAUCUCUCCUGUGUGUACGGGUUUAUGUUCUUUUUGUGCAUGUAACCAUGUGUUUUCCAGUGCAUGAACUUCAAGUUUUCUAAGUAAUCAAUGAGUCCCUUCUCUUUGUCAAAACUACUGUUAUGUGGAAGUUCUAAACGAUGAUAAUAUUUUACACUGGUGUGUGUUGUACUCUGCUGCCAUAAAUUUUUUUAGUCUAGAUGCUUUAUUUUUUGGAUGAUCCAAAUGAUGAGACCCCUGAUUUUCAUUUACACAUGAAAAGUACCCAAACUCAACUUUAGAUCUUCUUAUGACCCUAAGAGCUCCUCUACUUUGGUGUUCUUGCUGCUCUUAUGCUUGUCAUGCCUCUUGAUUUUGUUUGUUUGGAUGCUUGUUCGUAGAUCAACAUGGCGAUCGUGAAGGGAUCAAAUUUGGUAAUUUCGAAGUUUUGUUUCAGUGUGUCCUUUGGUUUUGCACCCUGUUCCUUCGCCAUUUUGGUGCUUGUGCUUGCACUGCAAUUUUUUACUGGCUAGGGAGUUAUGCAAUCUUGUCUUGCAUCUCUCUACUGAUCUCUCCUCUGUUUAUUUUUGGAGAUCUCUCCCCUAUUGUUAAUAUAUUUUUUUGGAACAUGUGUAUCAUGUUCAGAUAUUCAUUCAUUUACGGAGUUGCUUCAGACUGUUAGCCAUUGUGUAAACCGCACACUGUUUUUGCCAUAAAAUAUUGCCAUUUGAACAGUCAAAUAUUGAAUCUAGAGCAGAUCAAGUAAAAAGCAUGGCUCAUCUUUUGUGUAACAAGUCAUGUACACUCUUUAUGUUAUUUAUAUCAACGCAACUAGUUUUGUGUUACCAGAGACAGACGGUUGAUGAUUUUUGGAUAUUUACAGAAUUUGGUAGGUCGGGAUUUGUUGGUGCAGUUGUAUCCGUAAGUUUUCUGAUUUUGCUAUGUAAGUAUGGAGUAUGAGCAGAUCUGUGAGUUGCAGAAAAGAGUGUCUGCAGAAUGCUUGGCCUCCUGUGCUAUGGAAGUGAGACCUGAAGGAUGAGCUUAUGGCGCAGGGAAUCUCUUUCUGGGUUUUGCAAUUUUAUUUUGAAGUUUGAAUUUGCUGUGGAUUCUCACUUUUGUUUGUUUCUCGAGGCAUCCAAGGACUUCCUGUUUAGGUUAUGCCAAUCUCUUUCUGGUUCUAUCCGAGGCAAUGCUGUAAACCUCAUCUCUGGUACCUACAGCAGAUCAUCUUUUCUUGCAUCUUCUCCUCGGGAACACUAUUCAGUAGAAGUUUCUGAGCCUUCCCUAGUAUACGUUGCUCUCUAUAUUCCAUGUUGUUAGGGGAUUGACUCAUUUCCCUCCCAAGUCUUCUGGUUUUCCUUAUCUACCCAUAAGCUUUAAAUGGAGUACAGGUGCUAGAGUAGUGGAAUUUUAAUGUGUUAUCUACCAUAAACACAAGUAUUAGUUGGCAGUGAUAUCGUGUUAUCCAACCAAUUAGUUAGGUAGGUUCAUGCAGCUAGCAUGAGAAGGGAUGAGAUUAAGGAGUUUCUGAAAAGCGAUCAGUUAUAGUCUUUUACAAUGGUUUUGAUAAUGUUAGACUCCUGUUUUUUACAGCGUUUGUUGUAUUUGCUCAUUUGGAUCUCUUACCUAUAAAACAGCACUACAGAUGUGAGUGUACUAUUUUUUGAAGUUGAGGAAGGUAUUAGCAUCUUGAAGUAGCUAGGAUAGUUUGGCUUCUGUUUGUCAUGGUAUUUCUUUUCUAAAUAUGGCCACUGAAUGGGGUAUUUCUGUUUUCUUUGAGCUCUAGUUCGAAUUUGCGAGAUAAUUUGAGGGGGGUAUUUCUCUUUUUUAAGCUCCAGUUGUUCAAUUUCCAGAUAACUCUGAAUGGGGUAUUUCUGUUCUUCUAAGCUCCAGUUGUCUAAAUUUGCCAGCCAAGAGUUAUCAGCCUCAAGAUGUUGCGUUGGAGUAACUGUUGGUCCAGCUUUGUUCCUCUUUUCUCUCAAGCACUUGUAGCUACUUUGAUAGCAUUAGAAUUAAAAGGGAAUUUUUUUUUUUGCUAAAGUACACGAAUUCAGUUCCAUAUAAGUGGAUUUGAUCUCCAAAAGUGGUGAGAAGUUGGGAGGAUUGUAAAUCGG
rnacentral:lncRNA from 1 species